AAGCCCUCCAGUUACAGCCUCGUUCAGGUGAUUGACAACUGUGAUGAUUGGGAAUCCCUGCCUGAAUCAACUGCACCUGCUCACCUCACAUCCCCAGCCAUAUUGUAGUUCCUCUUGUGCAUAUGCAGCCUCACGAAGGCAUCAGCAGCCAGAGGCUGGAAAGAAGGGAAGAAACUGAUUUGCAUAGCUGCUGCUUAAGUGACUUUUUCUACAAAUGAGGUCAUUGUGGAGCAGCCAGUGACGGGCUGAGGCUGAAGGAGCGCUAGUUCAGGAUCACAGGAUCUCUGGAGCAGCGGAGACUCGUCAGAGUCCGAUCACUGCUGCAGCCCCGCUUACAGCCCCGCGCACAGCCUGCUCCAAUAAGCCCGCAUGGACAUACCAACACCACGCACCUCUAAAAGCUUCAGCACAGCGCCCUGGUCUCGCCUGAGGGGGGAAAAGUCUACAAGAUCACUUUCUUGGCUCCUCUGAGAGAAACGCUGACGCUUCCCCGGGUCUACCUGCUCGCCCAGCACCCAUGAAUUCAGAUAAAAAUGUGUACCUCGGCAGAGACAAAGGCAUCAUGCGGAAGAGAGCCCUGCUCCUUAGGAAAGGUUGCAGCUUCGAGAUUACCAGGUAGGUGAAGAGACUAACGGUUUUGUCUUGGGCGAGAAGACGAUCAGAAUUGCUAUAACUGCACUCUUAAAGUGCCACUUUACAUGAGGCCAAACAGUGAGUUUCUAACGGGUGUCCU